rnacentral:rRNA from 1 species
UUCAAUGGGGGCAUUUGGGCCCACAGCGGUGUAUUCCAGUCCAAUAGGUAUAUAAAGUUGUCCCGUAAAAAGUUGGAAUAGAAUUUGGGUCCUGUCCGCCGUCCCCUUUCUUGGUGUGUACUUGUGGAAGGGCCCUUACCUCCUGGUGAACGGCGAUGUCCUUUACUGGGUGUGUCGCAAACCAGGACGUUUCUUUGAAAAAUUAGAGUGUCAAAGCAGCCUUUGCCCGAAUCCAUUAGCAUGGAAUAAUAGAAUAGGACGCGCGUUCCCAUUUUGUUGGCUUCUGAGAUCGCCGUAAUGAUUAAUAGGGAUAGUUGGGGGCAUUUGUAUUCCGACGUCAGAGGUGAAAUUCUUGGAUUGCCGGGAGACAAACUACUGCGAAAGCAUUUGCCAAGGAUGUUUUCAUUGAUCAAGAACGAAGGAAGGGGGAUCGAAAACGAUUAGAUACCGUUGUAGUCUCUUCUGUAAACUAUGCCAAUUGGGGAUCGGCACAGGAUUUUUAAUGACUGUGUCGGCACCCGAAGAGAAAUCUUUAAAUGAGGUUCGGGGGGGAGUAUGGUCGCAAGGCUGAAACUUAAAGGAAUUGACGGAAGGGCACCACCAGGUGUGGAGCCUGCGGCUUAAUUUGACUCAACACGGGGAAACUCACCAGGUCCAGACACAAUAAGGAUUGACAGAUUGAUAGCUCUUUCUUGAUCUUGUGGUUGGUGGUGCAUGGCCGUUCUUAGUUGGUGGAGUGAUUUGUCUGGUUAAUUCCGAUAACGAACGAGACCUUAACCUGCUAAAUAGACCAGCCGGCUUUGGCUAGCUGCUGUCUUCUUAGAGGGACUAUCAGCGUUUAGCUGAUGGAAGUUUGAGGCAAUAACAGGUCUGUGAUGCCCUUAGAUGUUCUGGGCCGCACGCGCGCUACACUGACAGAGCCAGCGAGUCUACCACCUUUGCCGGAAGGCAUGGGUAAUCUUGUGAAACUCUGUCGUGAUGGGGAUAGAACAUUGCAAUUAUUGUUCUUCAACGAGGAAUACCUAGUAAGCGUGAUUCAUCAGAUCGCGUUGAUUACGUCCCUGCCCUUUGUACACACCGCCCGUCGCUACUACCGAUUGAAUGGCUUAGUGAGGCCUCCGGAUUGGCUAUUGGGAGCUCGCGAGAGCACCCGACUGCCGAGAAGUUGUACGAACUUGGUCAUUUAGAGGAAGUAAAAGUCGUAACAAGGUUUCCGUAGGUGAACCUGCGGAAGGGAUGCAUGGUCU